rnacentral:rRNA from 1 species
CCCUAUGGGGUGCAGCAGGCGAGAAAACUUUGCAAUGUGCGAAAGCACGACAAGGUUAAUCCGAGUGGUUUCUGCUAAAGGAACCUUUUGUCAGUCCUAGAAACACUGAUGAAUAAGGGGUGGGCAAGUUCUGGUGUCAGCCGCCGCGGUAAAACCAGCACCUCAAGUGGUCAGGAUGAUUAUUGGGCCUAAAGCAUCCGUAGCCGGCUUUGUAAGUUUUCGGUUAAAUCCAUGCGCUCAACGUAUGGGCUGCCGGGAAUACUGCAAAGCUAGGGAGUGGGAGAGGUAGACGGUACUCGGUAGGAAGGGGUAAAAUCCUUUGAUCUAUUGAUGACCACCUGUGGCGAAGGCGGUCUACCAGAACACGUCCGACGGUGAGGGAUGAAAGCUGGGGGAGCAAACCGGAUUAGAUACCCGGGUAGUCCCAGCUGUAAACUAUGCAAACUCAGUGAUGCAUUGGCUUGAUGCCAAUGCAGUGCUGCAGGGAAGCCGUUAAGUUUGCCGCCUGGGAAGUACGUACGCAAGUAUGAAACUUAAAGGAAUUGGCGGGGGAGCACCACAAGGGGUGAAGCCUGCGGUUCAAUUGGAGUCAACGCCAGAAAUCUUACCCGGAGAGACAGCAGAAUGAAGGUCAAGCUGAAGACUUUACCAGACAAGCUGAGAGGAAGUGCAUGGCC